rnacentral:misc_RNA from 1 species
UCGCGGCUUAUCACCGGCAGUCCCCUUAGAGUGCCCAACUGAAUGAUGGCAACUAAGGGCGAGGGUUGCGCUCGUUGCGGGACUUAACCCAACAUCUCACGACACGAGCUGACGACAGCCAUGCAGCACCUGUGUUCCCGCCAGCCGAACUGAAGGGCUCCAUCUCUGGUGCCCAUACGGGACAUGUCAAAGGUUGGUAAGGUUUUUCGCGUUGCAUCGAAUUAAUCCACAUAAUCCACCGCUUGUGCGGGUCCCCGUCAAUUCUUUUGAGUUUCAACCUUGCGGCCGUACUUCCCAGGCGGAAUACUUAAUGCGUUAGCUGCGGCACCGGCGGUAACCCGCCGACACUUAGCACUCAUCGUUUACGGCGUGGACUAC